rnacentral:rRNA from 1 species
AUUGAACGCUGGCAGCAGGCCUAACACAUGAAAGUCGAACGAGUGGUGGACGGGUGCGUAAUGUCUGGGAAACUGCCCCAUGGAGGGGGAUAACUACUGGAAACGGUAGCUAAUACCGCAUACCAUCAGAUGUGCCCAGAUGGGGUUAGCUUGUUGGUGGGGUAACGGCUCACCAAGGCGACGAUCCAUAGCUGGGCUGAGUGGAUGACCAGCAACACUGUAACUGAGACACGGUACAGACACCUACGGGAGGAAGCAGAGGGGAAUAUUGCACAAUGGGCGCAAGCCUGAUGCAGCCAUGCCGCGUGUAUGAAGAAGGCCUUCGGGUUGUAAAGUACUUUCAGCGGGGAGGCGUUACCCGCAGAAGAAGCACCGGCUAACUCCGUGCCAGCAGCCGCGGUAAUAC